rnacentral:rRNA from 1 species
CCUANGGGAGGCAGCAGUUAGGAAUAUUGCACAAUGCACGAAAGUCUGAUGCAGCGACGCCGCGUGAGGGAUGAAGGCUUUCGGGUCGUAAACCUCUUUUAUUAGGGAAGAUUAUGACGGUACCUAAUGAAUAAGCUCCGGCUAACUACGUGCCAGCAGCCGCGGUAAUACGUAGGGAGCAAGCGUUAUCCGGAAUUACUGGGCGUAAAGCGUCUGUAGGUGGUAUUUUAAGUCAGAUGUUAAAUCUCUGGGCUCAACCCAGAGGCNGCAUUUGAUACUGGGGUACUUGAGGCAAGUAGAGGUAAGCGGAAUUUGUAGUGUAGCAGUGAAAUGCGUAGAUAUUACAAGGAACACCAAUGGCGAAGGCAGCUUACUGGACUUGUUCUGACACUGAGAGACGAAAGCGUGGGGAGCGAAAGGGAUUAGAUACCCUGNUAGUC